UCUCUGCCUGACACAAAACAACACUUUAUGUUUCUCUGUUCCAUAUAAUAAAUGACCACAGUCUAAAGUGGUUAGUUACAGUGUGCUGCGGAAAGGUCAAUGGUCUUGUGAUCGUGGCGUAUUAUCCUCACUGUGUCAGUGAGAUAUGAAGUGCAGGCAGGAUAGCUCAAUUUGGCCAAACUGUGACUUGCUGGAUAGACUUGUUUGGAUCGUCUGCGGCCGGGUUCACUGGGCGCACCGUGUGGGUGAGCGGCACCAGCGCUGCAAAUUAAAAUAACAAAAUGAUGGAGUUAGUGACUGAUGGCUGACUCACAGACAGAUAGCUGCAGAGCUGACUGAUACCUCUACGUAACACCCAAAUCUCCACUUGUGAGCCUUCGCAGCCAGCUUAGUCCCUGGAACACAGGAGGGAGGCUUAAUGAGAGUUUUAAUUCAUUUUUGACCAGGGCUGUGAUUGAAUUAAACUCCCACAGAAGGGCUGGAUCCUCUCCUCACCACAAGCCAUUUCCUCCUAUUAGAGAUGUAACAGAAGCAGAAGGCAGGGAAGCAGGUGACCUGACCAGAGCUGCUGCAGGACGUUACGCUGGGGCUGGGCUGCAAACUCACCGGCUUCUCAUCAUCCAAUCAAGCCUGACGCUUUACUUAAAGACUUUCAACUGUCCCACUCUUCACCAGUUCUCCACCAGUUCUUCACCUCUGUGGUAGCUACCCAUAAACAAGCCAUUUUUGUCAACUUUAAAGCCCGGUUCAUAAUCAACACUAGCGACGCAAAGUGCCGAAUUGGCCGCCAUGAUGCAUCGCUGCGUCGAAAAACGUGCCUGCUCGACGCGUGCAAUACAAUCCGUUGCCGUGGGAGGCGCCAAUUCAUCUAAUGAACUUAUUGACCAUUUUGUUAUACAACAGAAGAAGACUGUUGGCAACAUAACGGGAGAGGUAGGGAAACCAUGCGAGCUUGUACGGGCUCACCCAGUUCACAUCCCUACUCUUAGAAGAUUGACACAGAGAAUGCAUGGAUAGAAAUUGCUGUUGCCAUCUGGAAGAGCAUAGAAAGUGUCAAAAAAAGACUGGAUAACCUGAGAGGGACGAAUUCGGUAGGGCGGCGUUGACUAUGAACCGGGGCUAACAGUGCAGUUCUCAAUCUAAUUUGCUUCAGGUGCAACCCACGCUCCAGUAUUUGCCAACCAGUCUACCUCUAUAGAUUCCUUGUUUCUUUUUUGAGAUUCCACUUUAGCUCUUCUAAGGCUGUUAACCCGUUGUGUACUCUUUGUCUUCCGCUUUAUCCCCAGUCGUAGCCUGUAUUGUUAACCACAAGGGCUACACAACAGUAAAUGCUACCCAGCUCAGAGUUUCAGAAACCAUCUUGGAAAGUGUUUUUAUGCACACCAUCUCUCCUCUUAUUCUUUUGAGGUCACACACUCAUGUGUAAUGGUCUGCACGUUUAUCGACAGCACUUCACACUGUGUCCUUUGUUUGCUCCUUGAGUACACUUGUGCUUGGAACUGUAUGUUAUUUUUUUGUCUGAGGAGAAAACAAGUUAUGCUUUUGUCACGGCUCUACAACUACAAAACUACAUACAACUACUAUCUAAAUUGAAUUUGAAAAUGUAUAGUAAUUGGUCCACAAUGGCCCUCUGCCAUCCAUUAUGCACCUACCAGCUGAAAUUCCAUUUUUCUCUAAGCAAAUAAUUACUAUGAUGCACAAAACAGUGAAGCAGUAGAACUGAAGUACGCCGAUACAGCACAGUUAACAUGAAAAGUAGCUGCACCACAGUACUGGACAUUUUCCUUUCCCCUCUUGUGUCUCUCCCCCACACUAAUGAGCCCAUUAGCAAUUACACAUUGGAUUGGGCUUCUAUGGUAACACAGCUUGAGCAAACCAUUUGGGCUGGAAAGAUAUAUACCACAUCCACUAUCAAUGCUGUUUGUUAUUUCCCUGGAAAAUAACAAUUUGCCAUGUAAUAUGUCCAAUCUGAAUUCCUGCAACGGGCCUAUAUUAACCAGAGUCUUUAUUUCUAAAUGUAUAUGUUAUGAUCCAUUAAGACUUAUUGUUAUUUUCCUAUUUUAUAAAGAAAGCCACCUUACUAAAGGGUAGAAAUGUCAUUAUAGAGCCAAUCUGUCACCCAUGGAAAGGGCCACACUUUGCUGGCAACACAUUUCCUGUGAGGGAGAAGAUGACAUGAAUUGUAUGAAAAACACUCAAAGGGUCACGCCUGCACAAGACUGACCAAAGUUUUGGUUGCUCUCACCAGUGCCUAGUCAUCUGAAUUAGCUUAAGUUUCUCCUGGAUACCUCAAAGAGAAGGAAGACAUUGGGGGAAGUCUGAACCUGGGACCGUGGUCUUCUACCUGUGUCCUUUGGGCUACUAUCAUUGUAGUGGUCAUGAGCUAACAAAAUAUGAUGGCAUAUACCAAAAUCAUUCUUUUUCACAUAUUGUCUGGAUUCACCUCGGGGGGAAAUGGGGAGAUCAGUGUCCUCGUAUGGGAACAGGCUGGCUCAAGCAUUGGGUCGUAGUGUGCCCUGGGUUGUCCUAAAGCAAAACACAAUUUUGUGGGCAGACCCAGAAUAGGGUGUGAAAUUUUGUGUCUAAUACGACUACAGCAUAUCAAACAGUAAGAGACACACGUGUAUCUUAGCUUCUUUGCCUAGCCUGGUAUCCCAUUGAACUUAAAGACCUCUAAACCUGUAACGGUAUCCCAGGCAUGUCAGCUUGUGAGGGCAACCUGGGGGAAACUCAUAACCUACUGUAGGAAAUAUACAUCAGUUCAUUGGGAAUCUGGUUAGCUGAUUGACCCUUUACCUGGAUUAGAUUAUUUCACCUCAAGUACUGGCAUCUGAAGAUGGUAACUUAAUGAAUUUGAUGCAGAAGAACUCUUGGUCUUCUUUGUGUUGGCCAGUCCUCAUGAGCUUCGUCAGUGUUUGAUUUCUGGGAGUACAAAUGAGGAAACUUUAGGGUUUCAGAUAGACCUGACUUGACUCACCUUGAUGUCUUAAAGCAGCAGAAUGUUUUGUAUUUGAAGCCAUUAUUUAAGUAUUAAAAAUGUCAAAUGGAUUACUUAUGCAAUAAAAUACAAAGUAAUAUCAUAUUUGCGAAGGGUCUGAGUAAACGAAUAUUUGUUUCAGACAUAAUUUAACUUUUGCUAUUUAACAUUGCUAUUUGCCUCCUGUUUUGCUACAAGCAUUGGCUUCUUUUAAAAAUGGCAGCACAAGACACACCAAGCAGUUAUUGAAACCAUCAUGACGAACAGCAACCAGAAAAGGAAAAGACAGACAUGGCACCAAAUUAAAGUAGCAAUUGUCAGGACUCAGAAAAUGAUGUGAGUAUUUUAGUUUGUAAGUCACUGAUUUGAGAGUUGUCAGCACAGUGUUGGUCUGUUUCAUCCUGAUCCUACACUGAUUGCAAGGCCAUGGUGAAAAUCAGUGAGUGCUCUCCACAGUCUAAUCAGGACCAAGUAUGGGUUUGUGUCGUACAACUCCGCUCAAUGGAGAGGCACAGCCUAAUGAGUGAGUUUUUUUUUUUUUUCAUUCUGCUGAAAUCUGUUGAUUACCUAAGUCUGUCAUCGGUUAUGUGAGUGGACUGUCAGCUCACCUGUGACUCUUCUGGCUGCCUGGUUGAGGCAAUCGAUGAUGCUGUGAGUGAACCAAUGCUUCAUUUCCAUAGCACCAGAGCAGCACUGCCCGCUGAGGAGAAAAAUAUACUACUGGAAAGUUUGAUUCUAACUGUGCGUUUGAUGUAGAAGUCCAGAAAUGGUGAUUAUAACUGGAAGUGAAAUAUGGAUUAUGACAUUAAAUACAAAAAUACCCUUGAGUGAAGACCUGCCCUUGAACUGUGGAAGCAAGUCUGAAAUUAGGCAAUCUCUGAGCUACCCAUAGCAACAUAGACAGAUUAGUAUUAUACCAGUCCAUUAGUCCGUAGGCCUUCAACAGGGUGUCUGUGAAUCUUGAUUGAUUAGACAUUGUUUGUACAAUUUAAAUUUUGCAUUCCCCCCAACCCCCAAAUUAAAAUUUCUUUAAAUACACGUAAACAUUGAUCCAAUGAUGAAAACUUACCUAUGAAAUAUAUAAAUACAGUAUGUGGACAGGAAGCAUUACAGGCCUUCCUCUGACCACUGUCAGUAGGUUCUUACUACUUGUGAUUUAGUGCAUCCCAUAGGCCUGACUGAGUUGGAUAUGCUCCUUAUAUGUUAGGAUGUGCAGGUUUCCUCUGUCUCUGUUUCCCCCUCCCCUCUGUUGUUUGUCUCUGUGGGCUGGACAUGACUCUGUCUCCACCUGGAGCUACACCUGCUCUGCAUCCGGCUCAUCAACUCCCCCUCCCUGUCUGCAGGGUAUGAGCCGGGCCCAUCCUGCCGUCCGGCGUCAGUGAUUCACCAGUGUGCCACCGUCCAGCCAUCCUGCCGCUGUGCCCAGCCCUACCUCACCUGCCUUUUCGCCCCGGACUACAACAGUGCUCCUGGCCUGCACAGAGCUCGAUCUGCCUCCAACCCCCCACUAACCUCCAACUUAUUUGAACUCACAAAUAAAGUGAGCCACCGCAACGA